GCUCUUCCAAUCUGGGACAUGUGAUCAUAAAUGAUUUAAAAUGUUCAGUUCUUGUAUUAUUUCUACCCACUCACUUUCCCCCAAAUGGUACAGAACUUC